AUCGAGGAACAUGACUACCAAACCAAGCUUCGCAAUGUCAUCAAGUUCUUGAAGGAUGGCGACAAAGUGAAGUGCUCCGUCCGCUUCCGUGGACGUGAAAUCGCCCAUGCGGAUAUCGGUCAGAAGAUCUUGGAACGCGUGAAAGUGGAAGUUGCUGAACUCAGCAGCAUCGAACGUCAACCUAAACUUGAAGGCCGUAGCAUGAUUAUGAUUUUGGCUCCUAAAUCUUGAGCCAGAUAAACUUGGAGGAGGAAAUACACAAUGCCUAAAAUGAAAACUCACAGCAGCCUGA
rnacentral:misc_RNA from 1 species